UACGUAGGGUGCAAGCGUUGUCCGGAAUUAUUGGGCGUAAAGGGCUCGUAGGCGGUUUGUCGCGUCGGGAGUGAAAUCCACUGGCUUAACUGGUGGCUUGCUUUCGAUACGGGCAGACUGGAGGUAUGCAGGGGAGAACGGAAUUCCUGGUGUAGCGGUGAAAUGCGCAGAUAUCAGGGGGAACACCGGUGGCGAAGGCGGUUCUCUGGGCAUGUCCUGACGCUGAGGAGCGAAAGUGUGGGGAGCGAACAGG
rnacentral:rRNA from 1 species